UGUAACGAGAGUUUCCAGGCACGCAUUUGCGACGCAUGUGGCAUUAAUUCACGUUUUAAGGGCUCGCAGACCAUCGGAAGGCGGUCAGCAUUUCUUUAGGAUACCGAAGCUCAUUUAACACGCCUCGCUUCAUUAUGUUUACUUGAAUUAAUGAUCGUUAAACAGUUCCUUAAUUAGCAUUUCAAUGAGGGUUUCAUUAAUACUGCAGUCUUGUCCCAUUUAACCACUCAGGCCUGAGUCAGGCCUUGAGAUGCUUGAAGAGCCACAAGUUACUUUUAAGCAAUUAGAUGGAUCACAAGACUUUUUUGGAUUAUAAUUUACAAUACAAUUAUAAUUUGAAACCAUUUGUGUGCCGUUCCUUUGUAAAUACUUGUAAAAUUUACUAGCAAUUCGCGAGUAACACAUUGAAUUAAAAACUAAACGAAACAAUUUUGCAGAAAUACUUUCCACUCAGAAAUUUUUACAAAUAGGCUAAAUUAAAAAGACCUGGCAAGUAACGCAUUGAAUUAAAUGUGGAAUAUAAAGAAAACUGGCAGGGGGGAAAAAAUGCAUAAAAAUAAUACUUUCCCCUCAGGAAUCGCUAGUAAAAUUUAUAACAACAAAGAAAUGGCAAGGAACAUACUAAAUAGCACUAUUUCCAUUUUUCAGAGCACAUCAUAUUACACAAAAUACAUUUUUGCAAACCAAAAAUAAUAAUUAAGCUCGCAAAACCAAUUUCGGCGGAAAUGCCUCAUGUUUAUAACAAUAGUAAGUACUGUAGGACACUAAAAUGUCCGUCUUUAUUUUUUAAUAGCACUGUUUAUACACGUUUUAUUGUAAAAACUGUAUUUUUUCGUCUAUGGGCACUGUGGUGGAUGUUUAAGGGGGGCAGCGCGGGACCAUUUUACAGUCGACACAUGAUGAACGCGUGCGAUAUUUUUCACCUUUUUAAUCUUUCGCGGACACAAAGAACGCACGGCCGUGUGUAUACUAAUCCGCCGCAGCCAUUUGAAAUCAAAACGCGGGGCGUGAAUAUCAAAUUUUGUGCACGUUUUCCUCAUAAUUCCAAACGGGAGGUGUGGUCGCUCUCAACCACCCCGCCCCCCUCGGACGUCACCCGCGUCGUGUUAAUUUACCGCUAUCGAAAAAAAAAUAUCCCUCAAAACGCGCUUCCCUCCCCAAAUACACCAAAGGGGCUUUCGCAAUCUAUUGUUUGUGCAUCACUGAGUUAUUUGCGCAUAACAGGUUACAAAAUCACUUGAGUGGGCCAAUGAGCACCUUCAGUGGGAUUUUAUUACCCCUCCUGAAGCUUUGGCGAGGAUGAAUGGGAAGCCAUAUUCUCACUGGCUCACAAGGAAACAUGAAGCCUCCGAGUGCUUCUCGCACAACAAAUAUAUUGUGAAAUGUAGUCUUUCGCUGCAGACCCUGGAAUCCUCUCUGCUCAGCAGUUAUUGAAGUGAGGAGAAGGUACGUCUCCAUGGCAACCAGGGUGAAAUGUGACCUGGACAUAUGUGCUGAGAUGCGUUCAUGUAGGAAUCUCGUUAAUUUUGCACUAAUGCUUUGAAUGGAAACAUUUUAUACAUUUAAUGGCAAUUUUUUUAAAUGCUCCAAGAAAAACCAGUAACUGUUUGUCCAUUGCUAGGCUAACAAAAUGACACAAGAGGGCAGUAUGGCACUGCUAUGAUAUGAUUUGCGUAGAAAUUAUAAUCUAGUUUUGUACAGAGAUAGGACUGAUAAUGAAGUGUUGGUGUUUCUGUUUGUUUUUCAUCUGGGUUUGUUUGCAAGACCUUGUCCGUGUAAUUUCUGUAUGUGGGUUUUUAAUUUUUGUAUUCUGCAUCUGUUGUAGUCUGUUUA